AUGAACGCUGGCGGCGUGCCUAACACAUGCAAGUCGAACGGAGAUUAACGCUGACGAGACUUCGGUCAAAUCUGUUAAAUCUUAGUGGCGGACGGGUGAGUAACGCGUGGGCAACCUGCCUCAUACUGGGGGAUAGCAGUUGGAAACGACUGAUAAUACCGCAUAAGCGCACGAGAUCGCAUGAUCUAGUGUGAAAAAACUCCGGUGGUAUGAGAUGGGCCCGCGUCAGAUUAGCUAGUUGGUAGGGUAACGGCUUACCAAGGCGACGAUCUGUAGCCGGACUGAGAGGUCGGACGGCCACAUUGGGACUGAGACACGGCCCAAACUCCUACGGGAGGCAGCAGUGGGGGAUAUUGCACAAUGGAGGAAACUCUGAUGCAGCGACGCCGCGUGAAGUGAAGAAGUAUUUCGGUAUGUAAAGCUCUAUCAGCAGGGAAGAAAGGCUCGUAAGAGAGAUGACGGUACCUGACUAAGAAGCCCCGGCUAACUACGUGCCAGCAGCCGC
rnacentral:rRNA from 1 species